GAUGAAGAACGUAGCGAAAUGCGAUAAGUAGUGUGAAUUGCAGAAUUCCGUGAAUCAUCGAAUCUUUGAACGCACAUUGCGCCUUCUGGUAUUCCGGAAGGCAUGCCUGUUCGAGAGUCAUUAACAACCGUUUCGAUCCCUUUCUUUCAGAAAUUACAAAGAGGAAAAGGGUUUGGUUAUGGUGGAGGAGGGAAAGGGAGCGUUUAGCCUGUAAAAAAAGAGGCUGUGUUCCGCCUCCCCCCCAAAAUUGUACAGGCGGUCGUGUGCGCCCACGCAUCGAGGUGUUGUAAAAGCUGCCACGGCACCUUUCACCUGUGCAGUGCGAGAUUGGCCAGCCGGUUUAAAAACCCCUCCAAACAAUCAAAGGUUGACCUCGGAUCAGGUAGGGAUACCCGCUGAACUUAAGCAUAUCAAUAAGCGGAGGA
rnacentral:misc_RNA from 1 species